GCAGCUCUACCUCAUGGGUGGUGCGGAAAAGAGCUGAGUAGGGACACAGUUGUAGCUAGAGACAUUGAUGUGAUCGCGCUCUAGUUGUAGCUCUCGCUCUGGUUCUUGUCGGGCGGCGAGCUACCCUUGCUCGCCGUCCACAGACCCGCACUUACGGUGGCCGGAGAUCGUCACGCGAUCUCCGACGCCCUGAGUGUCUCUCGUGACGGCUGGGGCGUGAGGAGGUUCAUUCCCUCACGCGCCCCGCCACCUCCUUAGCUAGCAUGACUGCUUCGCAGAAGGAGGAGACGGCAUACCAGUCCCCCUCGCUCCGCAUCAUAGCUUGUACCAAUACCGGACGCGAAAGGUCGCCGUCGCCGACCACAUCCCUGAGGACACGGCGGUGCUCAGUCCAUGCAGGGCACACCGCCACCGUAUGCUCCACCGUGUCCUCCGGGCGAUCCUCGCAGUGAUGACGCCUGGCCGUUUCCUCCCGUCCAAUCAGGAAUCGAACCACUGGACCAACGAUGUAGUCCAAUGAUCAGUAAGGAAUAAUAAUUAUGUAAGUAUUCGAAUUAUGGGAGAGCCAUGCUUCGGCACGAAUGGGCCGGCUCGACCGGAGUGAUACCACGGCCUCACAGAAAACCGACGUGAAACAACGCUUGCGUUGUGUUUCGUUGUGUGAGUGAGGUUACCGGAGGCCCAAUUCCCCCUUCCCAAUCUUCCUCAUCCCCAUUCCCGAACAACAACCCUUAAAUUCCUAACUCCCAAGAAGCCGGCAACGCACUUGUAACGCCUCUGGUGUUUCAAGUGUCCAUGGGCGGCGGCGAUUGCUUACCAUCAGAUAUUAUCCGAACUAAUUGCAUUGGAUCAAAUUUGACGGAUGAAUCAUCAUCAUCAUCAUCAGCCGAGAGACGUCCACUGCUGAACAAAGGCCUCCCCCUAAGUUCUUAGUAACUUGGCAUGGAUAUAUAAAGAAA